rnacentral:rRNA from 1 species
UGGGGAAUAUUGGACAAUGGGGGCAACCCUGAUCCAGCAAUGCCGCGUGUGUGAAGAAGGCCUUCGGGUUGUAAAGCACUUUAGGUGGGGAAGAAGGUGUGCAGUUUAAGAGAUAGCACAUUUGACGGUACCUGCAGAAUAAGCACCGGCUAACUCUGUGCCAGCAGCCGCGGUAAUACAGAGGGUGCGAGCGUUAAUCGGAAUUACUGGGCGUAAAGGGCGCGUAGGCGGUUAUAUAAGUGAGAUGUGAAAUCCUUGGGCUUAACCUAGGAACUGCAUUUUAUACUGUAUGACUGGAGUACUGUAGAGGGUAGUGGAAUUUCCGGUGUAGCGGUGAAAUGCGUAGAUAUCGGAAGGAACACCAGUGGCGAAGGCGGCUACCUGGACAGAUACUGACGCUGAGGCGCGAGAGCGUGGGGAGCAAACAGGAUUAGAUACCCUGGUAGUCCACGCUGUAAACGAUGAGAACUAGAUGUUGGCAGGCUUGACCUGUUAGUAUCGAAGCUAACGCGAUAAGUUCUCCGCCUGGGGAGUACGGCCGCAAGGUUAA